CCUACGGGUGGCAGCAGUGGGGGAUAUUGGACAAUGGGGGAAACCCUGAUCCAGCGACGUCGCGUGAGUGAAGAAGUAUUUCGGUAUGUAAAGCUCUAUCAGCAGGGAAGAAAGAAAUGACGGUACCUGAGUAAGAAGCCUCGGCUAACUACGUGCCAGCAGCCGCAGUAAUUCGUAGGGGGCAAGCGUUAUCCGGAAUUACUGGGUGUAAAGGGGGCGUAGGCGGUAAUGCAAGUCUGGAGGGAAAGGCGGGGGCCCAACCCCCGGACUGCUCUGGAAACUGUGUAACUGGAGUGCAGGAGAGGCAGGCGGAAUUCGUGGUGUAGCGGUGAAAUGCGUAGAUAUUAGGAGGAACACCAGUGGCGAAGGCGGCCUGCUGGACUGUAACUGACGUUGAGGCUCGAAAGCGUGGGGAGCAAACAGGAUUAGAUACCCUUGUAGUC
rnacentral:rRNA from 1 species